UUGCAUUAAAACAAAAUAUAUCCAUGCUUAUGAAUUCAAAACUAACAGACCAAUCAACAUGGAAAAUUUAAAGGAAAACAGUGGAAUAACUUCGUAAGUCACCAAACUAACAUAUAGGGGUGGAAAGGCGAUAACAAUGAAGAAGAUGGAACAAAUAUACAAAAUUGGAGAAUGUAUUAUACAGUAACUCAAACAACAAAAUAGAAUUAAGCAACAAAGAAUUGAUAACAAAAUGUAAUUAGGAAAGGAAGUAGUUAAGGGACAGAAUGAACGAACCAUCAGUUAAGCUUAAGGAUGUUUCCUUAGGGAUUGAAUUACAGGCCUUUCAACAUCGACUCAGCGUCUAAACAGCAAGAUUACAACUCGACUCGCCGGAGACUCGACCUCGACAGACCGCAAAAAAAAGCAUCACUGCACCUUUCAACCUCGAAUGGCAACAGGAUUCAAAUCGGAAUCAAUGUCGAACAACGACUCAGAUCACAUCAAUCUCAGUUUCAUGCUCAAAAUUUCUGCCGGAUUUCCGGCCAGUUAUGGUAGCUGCGGUGUUUGCGGGAGGUGACUGGGAACCGCUGGUCUUUUAUUAGCAUUCACUCAGGUUGAAGAUGAGAAACAGCCGCUGAUCUCUAGCUUCUCUAGGGUUCUGUUUAUGGAAGAUGAAGGAGAAGGACGGUUGGAGUUCUCAUCGGAGAUAGCAGCGGCAACGGGUUUUUGUGAGAGUUCAGAAGCAAGCUUAAGGUUCUCUCGUGGCUGCUACUCUUGUGAAGAAGAUAGGGUCCCUGGAGUUUUUAGAUGAUAGCUCUCAUGGAGAAGAAAAGCUCCUGUCUAGUCCGAAUUUCCAGGCCUGGAUAUUGUAUUGUAUCGUGUAUCUAUGUGUGUAUCUUCAAGCCUUUUGUCAAGAAGCAAGGCUGCGCAGCUUCCAGGCCUCUCCUCUUCUGUAUUCUAUCGUGUGU
rnacentral:lncRNA from 1 species